rnacentral:rRNA from 1 species
AGCGAACGCUGGCGGCAGGCCUAACACAUGCAAGUCGAACGAACUCUUCGGAGUUAGUGGCGGACGGGUGAGUAACACGUGGGAACGUGCCUUUUGGUUCGGAAUAACUCAGGGAAACUUGUGCUAAUACCGAAUGUGCCCUUCGGGGGAAAGAUUUAUCGCCAUUAGAGCGGCCCGCGUCUGAUUAGCUAGUUGGUGAGGUAACGGCUCACCAAGGCGACGAUCAGUAGCUGGUCUGAGAGGAUGACCAGCCACACUGGGACUGAGACACGGCCCAGACUCCUACGGGAAGCAGCAGUGAGGAAUCUUGCGCAAUGGGCGAAAGCCUGACGCAGCCAUGCCGCGUGAAUGAUGAAGGUCUUAGGAUUGUAAAAUUCUUUCACCGGGGACGAUAAUGACGGUACCCGGAGAAGAAGCCCCGGCUAACUUCGUG